CGCAGCCUGAUCAGCCAUGCCGCGUGAGUGAUGAAGGCCUUAGGGUUGUAAAGCUCUUUCACCGGGGAAGAUAAUGACGGUACCCGUAGAAAAAGCCCCGGCUAACUUCGUGCCAGCACCCGCGGUAAUAGAAUAU
rnacentral:rRNA from 1 species